rnacentral:rRNA from 1 species
GAAGCCCCAGUAAACGGCGGCCGUAACUAUAACGGUCCUAAGGUAGCGAAAUUCCUUGUCGGGUAAGUUCCGACCCGCACGAAUGGCGUAACGAUGGCCACACUGUCUCCUCCCGAGACUCAGCGAAGUUGAAGUGGUUGUGAAGAUGCAAUCUACCCGCUGCUAGACGGAAAGACCCCGUGAACCUUUACUGUAGCUUUGCAUUGGACUUUGAAGUCACUUGUGUAGGAUAGGUGGGAGGCUUUGAAGCAGAGACGCCAGUCUCUGUGGAGCCGUCCUUGAAAUACCACCCUGGUGUCUUUGAGGUUCUAACCCAGACCCGUAAUCCGGGUCGGGGACCGUGCAUGGUAGGCAGUUUGACUGGGGCGGUCUCCUCCCAAAGAGUAACGGAGGAGUUCGAAGGUUACCUAGGUCCGGUCGGAAAUCGGACUGAUAGUGCAAUGGCAAAAGGUAGCUUAACUGCGAGACCGACAAGUCGAGCAGGUGCGAAAGCAGGACAUAGUGAUCCGGUGGUUCUGUAUGGAAGGGCCAUCGCUCAACGGAUAAAAGGUACUCCGGGGAUAACAGGCUGAUUCCGCCCAAGAGUUCAUAUCGACGGCGGAGUUUGGCACCUCGAUGUCGGCUCAUCACAUCCUGGGGCUGUAGUCGGUCCCAAGGGUAUGGCUGUUCGCCAUUUAAAGUGGUACGUGAGCUGGGUUUAAAACGUCGUGAGACAGUUUGGUCCCUAUCUGCAGUGGGCGUUGGAAGUUUGACGGGGGCUGCUCCUAGUACGAGAGGACCGGAGUGGACGAACCUCUGGUGUACCGGUUGUAACGCCAGUUGCAUAGCCGGGUAGCUAAGUUCGGAAGAGAUAAGCGCUGAAAGCAUCUAAGCGCGAAACUCGCCUGAAGAUGAGACUUCCCUUGUGGUUUAACCACACUAAAGAGUCGUUCGAGACCAGGACGUUGAUAGGUGGGGUGUGGAAGCGCGGUAACGCGUGAAGCUAACCCAUACUAAUUGCUCGUGAGGCUUGACUCU